GUCGUUUUUUGGCUAUUUACAUUUGCUUUUAUUAAUCAUAAAAAAAUGCUGAAAUUGCCGAAAUUGGCGAAACGACAGCGUGCUGGUCGCAGGAUCGUGCACGAAAGCGCAAUUUGAUUUUAAUGGCGGCAAAAUGUUGAAUGUUCUGCGUCGCACUGGCAAUGCAAACACACAGAGAGUUGAAAUAGACAGCAGCAGCAGCAGCAGGACAGAUGACUGAACGAAUGAAUGAAUGAAUGACCAUUUCAGUUCAGUCUUCGCACGCACAAAUGUCAUUUUCACUACAAUAUACAGAUAUAUACAUUAAUCUAUAUAUAACAACUAGCUAUGUAGUAUAUAGAAACAUAUGCAUGCAGUUGGCUGUAAGCAGCAACAGCAGGAGUAGCAGGACAAGGAGUGCAGCACAAUAAGCGAUAUACAUAUAUAUGUAUGUAAAUCGACGUUAACAGACGUUCUGCUGUGCACAAUCGCCAAACGAUUGCGUGCCCAGAGGGGCAACGGACAACGCCGGCUGCUAUUUGUUUGCCAAUGUUUGCAGAAAGUCAACGACAAGUCAUCAUUCCCUUGCCCACGCCCACCCCCACCAAGCAACGUUUCCAACGCCUGUUCGGGCGUGUGCCGCUGAUAAGGGUCGCAUAAGAGUAAAGGGAGAGAGAGAAGAGAGGAGGACAGAGGCAGGGCAGACUGGCUGCAGUGUGUGCAUGGGAUUUACUCUAGUUUAUUUGUUAAUGGUUUAUUUAUUAAUUCCUGCGGAUUAUCACGUCAGACAAGCCAUCACAACAUAGCGCACAGCGAGAUACAGCACGGCACAGCCAAAAGGCCAGAGGGCAAAACAGGAAGCGAGCAACAGCAACGGCAUAGGAAACGCAUAUGCCAAGGCUACGAAGGGGUGGGUGGGCGAUGCAGUGUUUUGGAUGUUGCUGCUGCUGCGAUAACGCUUAUCGUGUUGUUGGCAAUUGUUGCUAAUAGCUAAUGGCGAUUGCCAAAUGGCCAGCUAAUGGCAAAAUGGUGAAUGCAACAUGAGCCCUAAUCUUAAGGCUUUCCAUUUGCUACUUCCGAUGUGUUGUGAUGUGUGCAAAGUUUUGAGCAAAUUGAAAAUUUGUGUUCGCCUUGAAAUCAUGCAUUAAUAAUGCCAAAACACUAAAUAGUUCAACCCACCCAAGCACAAGUUUAAGGAGAAAGGACUCAUGCAAAGUGCCAGGAACAUGCGUAGACAAUUUCCUAAAUCCUCCUUGCAAGUCAUGGCACGUGAAACGUGCGGUAAAACCGCCCGGAAAUUUGAAAUUUUGUGCAAGUUUGAAGACUUGAAGAAGUGUGUGAGAGAAAUGUUGCUCAAGUUGUUGCUGCGUUUGACAGCACGCAUGUCCUUGCAAGUGUUCAGGCGUGUGUGAACUUCCGCAUAUGCACACAAUCAGAGCAGAAUACAACUGAACUUAACAGUAGCAGAGAACACCCUAAACUAAAUGGAGAAAAUCAACGAAAUAUAAGCAAUUAGUGAAAUAAAUUUCAAAUAAAUUCGCUGGAGACGAGCUUCUGCUUUGCUGCCAACUCUGACAUUCAUAGACAUCAACCCGACACUUUUGUUGUUGCCAGACUCCCUCAAAAAACCUUUUAAAGUAUUCAAUAACACCGAACUGAAAUUCUAACCCUCUAUGUUCAGCCUCCUUCGUUGGCCGAAAAACUGCUUCUGCUGCUGCUGCUGAUGGACUAUUGAUGGACAUGCUUGCAAAUUGAAUUUCUCACGCCGAACUAGCUAGCCCCUCAGAAAUAGAUCAAUGUCGUUGCCAACUGAUGAAAAUUUUCCUAAUUUUCACUCUAAUUUGAUCGGGAAAAUGUCAAGGAGUUCAUUAGUCUGCUGGCAUAACAAAUAAUCGACUGCCACUGACUGAGUAUUCAAUGCCAUCUAGAAUGUCAUCUUAGUCUAAGGCCGUGAAGCGAAGAACCCGCAUCAAAUUACUCAUUUAACUAGCAAAUGUAUUCAACAUCAAAUGAAUCAAAUUUCAUUCGGUUGCCUUGAAAGCAAAGUUCAAGUGAAACAUUUAUUAUUUUUCCUAUACCCCUUCCUGCUGGUAUUUAAUUUGAAUGAGAUGGAAAUGUGAUAGGACAUUUGGAAAUUCAAAGAAGAAAAGUCAGAUGCGGACAUUAAUAUGUUU